rnacentral:rRNA from 1 species
UACGUAGGGACCGAGCGUUGUCCGGAAUCAUUGGGCGUAAAGAGCGUGUAGGCGGCCUUUUAAGUCCUGCGUGAAAUCCUGCGGCUCAACCGCAGACGGUCGUGGGAAACUGGAAGGCUAGAGUGCGGGAGAGGAGAGUGGAAUUCCCGGUGUAGCGGUGAAAUGCGCAGAUAUCGGGAAGAACACCCGUGGCGAAGGCGGCUCUCUGGACCAUUGCUGACGCUGAGACACGAAAAGCGUGGGGGAGCGAACAGGG